GAUGAACGCUAGCGGUGCGCCUAACACAUGCAAGUCGAGCGGGAUUAUUUGUGACACAGAGUAGAGAAGUUUUCUUCUACAUUCUGUGUCACGGAUAGUUUAGCGGCAAACGGGUGCGUAACACGUUGAUAUCUCCCCCGAAGUCAGGGAUAGCCUCGAGAAAUCGAGAGUAAUACCGGAUGGUCCCGUAAGGGUAAAGGAGCAAUUCGCUUCGGGAAGAGUCUGCGGCCUAUCAGCUAGUUGGCGGGGUAAUAGCCCACCAAGGCAAUGACGGGUAGCUGGUCUGAGAGGACGGCCAGCCACAAUGGAACUGAGACACGGUCCAGACUCCUACGGGAGGCAGCAGUGGGGAAUAUUGCACAAUGGAGGGAACUCUGAUGCAGCGACGCCGCGUGAGUGAAGAAGGUCUUCGGAUCGUAAAACUCUGUCCUUGGUGAAGAAAGGACGGUAGCCAAGGAGGAAGCCCCGGCUAACUACGUGCCAGCAGCCGCGGU
rnacentral:rRNA from 1 species